ensembl:snRNA U6 U6 spliceosomal RNA
GUGCUCGCUUCGGCAGCACAUAUACUAAAACUUGGAACGAUACAGAGAAGAUUAGCAUGGCCCCUGUAAAAAAAGAAUGAAAAAAAAAUUUUUAAAAUGAAUCCAGUUUUG